rnacentral:rRNA from 1 species
CCUACGGGAGGCUGCAGUGGGGAAUAUUGCACAAUGGGGGAAACUCUGAUGCAGCGACGCCGCGUGAGUGAAGAAGUAACUCGUUAUUUAAAGCUCUAUUAGUAGGGAAGAAAAUGACGGUACCUGAGUAAGAAGCCCCGGCUAACUACGUGCCAGCAGCCGCGGUAAUACGGAGGGGGCAGGCGUUAUCCGGAUUUACUGGGUGUAAUGGUAGCGUAGUCGGCAGUGCAAGUCUGGAGUGAAAGGCGGGGGCUCAACCCCCGGACUGCUCUGGAAACUGUACGGCUGGAGUGCAGGAGAGGUAAGUGGAAUUCGUGGUGUAGCGGUGAAAUGCGUAGAUAUUAGGAGGAACACCAGUGGCGAAGGCAGCUUACUGGACUGUAACUGACGUUGAGGCUCGAAGGCGUGGGGAGCGAACAGGAUUAGAUACCCGAGUAGUC